UUAACGCUGAGGUGUGAUGACGAGGCACUACGGUGCUGAAGUGAUAAAUGCCCUGCUUCCAGGAAAAGCCUCUAAGCAUCAGGUAACACGAAAUCGUACCCCAAACCGACACAGGUGGUCAGGUAGAGAAUACCAAGGCGCUUGAGAGAACUCGGGUGAAGGAACUAGGCAAAAUGGUGCCGUAACUUCGGGAGAAGGCACGCUGAUAUGUAGGUGAAGUCCCUGCGGACGGAGCUGAAAUCAGUCGAAGAUACCAGCUGGCUGCAACUGUUUAUUAAAAACACAGCACUGUGCAAACACGAAAGUGGACGUAUACGGUGUGACGCCUGCCCGGUGCCGGAAGGUUAAUUGAUGGGGUUAGCGGCAACGCGAAGCUCUUGAUCGAAGCCCCGGUAAACGGCGGCCGUAACUAUAACGGUCCUAAGGUAGCGAAAUUCCUUGUCGGGUAAGUUCCGACCUGCACGAAUGGCGUAAUGAUGGCCAGGCUGUCUCCACCCGAGACUCAGUGAAAUUGAACUCGCUGUGAAGAUGCAGUGUACCCGCGGCAAGACGGAAAGACCCCGUGAACCUUUACUAUAGCUUGACACUGAACACUGGUCCUUGAUGUGUAGGAUAGGUGGGAGGCUUUGAAGCGUGGACGCCAGUCUGCGUGGAGCCAACCUUGAAAUACCACCCUUUAAUGGCUGGUGUUCUAACGUAGACCCGUAAUCCGGGUUGCGGACAGUGUCUGGUGGGUAGUUUGACUGGGGCGGUCUCCUCCCAAAGAGUAACGGAGGAGCACGAAGGUUGGCUAAUCCUGGUCGGACAUCAGGAGGUUAGUGCAAUGGCAUAAGCCAGCUUGACUGCGAGCGUGACGGCGCGAGCAGGUGCGAAAGCAGGUCAUAGUGAUCCGGUGGUUCUGAAUGGAAGGGCCAUCGCUCAACGGAUAAAAGGUACUCCGGGGAUAACAGGCUGAUACCGCCCAAGAGUUCAUAUCGACGGCGGUGUUUGGCACCUCGAUGUCGGCUCAUCACAUCCUGGGGCUGAAGUAGGUCCCAAGGGUAUGGCUGUUCGCCAUUUAAAGUGGUACGCGAGCUGGGUUUAGAACGUCGUGAGACAGUUCGGUCCCUAUCUGCCGUGGGCGCUGGAGAAUUGAGGGGGGCUGCUCCUAGUACGAGAGGACCGGAGUGGACGCAUCACUGGUGUUCGGGUUGUCAUGCCAAUGGCACUGCCCGGUAGCUAAAUGCGGAAGAGAUAAGUGCUGAAAGCAUCUAAGCACGAAACUUGCCCCGAGAUGAGUUCUCCCUGAGACCUUGAGUCUCCUGAAGGAACGUUGAAGACGACGACGUUGAUAGGUCGGGUGUGUAAGCGCAGCGAUGCGUUGAGCUAACCGAUACUAAUGAACCGUGAGGCUUAACC
rnacentral:rRNA from 1 species